rnacentral:rRNA from 1 species
CAGCAGCCGCGGGAAUACGAGGGGGGCAAGCGUUGUUCGGAAUUAUCGGGCGUAAAGGGCGCGUAGGCGGUUUGGCAAGUUUGGUGUGAAAUCUUCGGGCUCAACUCGAAGUCUGCAUCGAAAACUGCCGGGCUUGAGUAUGGGAGAGGUGAGUGGAAUUUCCGGUGUAGCGGUGAAAUGCGUAGAUAUCGGAAGGAACACCUGUGGCGAAAGCGGCUCACUGGACCAUUUCUGACGCUGAUGCACGAAAGCUAGGGGAGCAAACAGGAUUAGAGACCCCCGUAGUCCCUGUCUCUUAUAC